rnacentral:rRNA from 1 species
CAGCCGUAAACUAUGCGCGUUAGGUGUAUCGGUGACCACGAGUUACCGAGGUGCCGAAGGGAAACCGUGAAACGUGCCGCCUGGGAAGUACGAUCGCAAGGCUGAAACUUAAAGGAAUUGGCGGGGGAGCACCACAACAGGUGGAGCCUGCGGUUUAAUUGGACUCAACGCCGGGAAGCUCACCGGAUAAGACAGCAGAAUGAUUGCCGGGCUGAAGACUCUGCAUGACUAGCUGAGAGGAGGUGCAUGGCGUCAGUGACU